rnacentral:lncRNA from 1 species
AGUGAAACCAUCUGGGCCUGGAGUAAAGGCGUGUGGCAUUGUUACUGUGGUCACUGAUGAGGAGUAGAGGGAGGAUUCACAGCCAAGUUGCUAUGAUCUUGUCGUUAUGGAGACAGACAUGCUGGGCUUCAUCACAAGGCUGUUUUCCUCCAGGUAUGACGUUGCUGUGGAAACACAAAGCCCAAAUCCUCAAAGAACACUCUGUUCUAGUCCCAGCUGCUUUAUCCAUCUGCGUUGUAUCUCAUUAGCAGAAGAGCCUAGUGAGAUAGGAGUUGCAUCUCUGCUCACCCAGAUCUCUAGAGAAGGGAUCUACCCCUGGACUUUUUUCUGGAAAAUUCUUCACGAAGCCAUAGGUAUGGAUGGAAGAAAAUGCACCAGUCCAAUAGCAGUAGGAGCCUGGGUAUCCUAUGCAUUUGAGUAUCUCACAUCUUCUGGAUCUGCCUAAACCUAGUCUCCAAGUACCACGGAUAUU